rnacentral:rRNA from 1 species
GGGUGAGUAAUGCUUAGGAAUCUGCCUAUUAGUGGGGGACAACAUCUCGAAAGGGAUGCUAAUACCGCAUACGUCCUACGGGAGAAAGCAGGGGAUCUUCGGACCUUGCGCUAAUAGAUGAGCCUAAGUCGGAUUAGCUAGUUGGUGGGGUAAAGGCCUACCAAGGCGACGAUCUGUAGCGGGUCUGAGAGGAUGAUCCGCCACACUGGGACUGAGACACGGCCCAGACUCCUACGGGAGGCAGCAGUGGGGAAUAUUGGACAAUGGGGGGAACCCUGAUCCAGCCAUGCCGCGUGUGUGAAGAAGGCCUUAUGGUUGUAAAGCACUUUAAGCGAGGAGGAGGCUACUUUAGUUAAUACCUAGAGAUAGUGGACGUUACUCGCAGAAUAAGCACCGGCUAACUCUGUGCCAGCAGCCGCGGUAAUACAGAGGGUGCGAGCGUUAAUCGGAUUUACUGGGCGUAAAGCGUGCGUAGGCGGCUUAUUAAGUCGGAUGUGAAAUCCCCGAGCUUAACUUGGGAAUUGCAUUCGAUACUGGUGAGCUAGAGUAUGGGAGAGGAUGGUAGAAUUCCAGGUGUAGCGGUGAAAUGCGUAGAGAUCUGGAGGAAUACCGAUGGCGAAGGCAGCCAUCUGGCCUAAUACUGACGCUGAGGUACGAAAGCAUGGGGAGCAAACAGGAUUAGAUACCCUGGUAGUCCAUGCCGUAAACGAUGUCUACUAGCCGUUGGGGCCUUUGAGGCUUUAGUGGCGCAGCUAACGCGAUAAGUAGACCGCCUGGGGAGUACGGUCGCAAGACUAAAACUCAAAUGAAUUGACGGGGGCCCGCACAAGCGGUGGAGCAUGUGGUUUAAUUCGAUGCAACGCGAAGAA